UCCGGUUGAUCCUGCCGGACCCCACUGCUAUCGGGAUAGGACUAAGACAUGCUAGUCGUGUGCCUCAGCCAAAACGAGGCACGGCGCACAGCUCAGUAACACGUGGCUAACCUGCCCUUAGGACGAGAAUAACCCCGGGAAACUGGGGCUAAUGCUCGAUAGGUGAAGAACUCUGGAAUGAGUCUUCACUUAAAAGAGUCUGCGUUAUGCUCGUAGAUUUCGCUUAAGGAUGGGGCCGCGACCGAUCAGGUUGUUGGUGAGGUAAUGGCUCACCAAGCCUUUUACCGGUGCGGGCUGUGAGAGCGGGAGCCCGGAGAUGGGCACUGAGACAAGGGCCCAGGCCCUACGGGGCGCAGCAGUCGCGAAAACUUUGCAAUACACGAAAGUGUGACAGGGCUAUCCCGAGUGCCAUCCGCUGAGGAAGGCUUUUACCCAGUCUAGAACGCUGGGGGAAUAAGGAGAGGGCAAGUCUGGUGUCAGCCGCCGCGGUAAUACCAGCUCUCCGAGUGGUGUGGAUGUUCAUUGGGCCUAAAGCGUCCGUAGCUGGCUAAGUUAGUCCCCUGUUAAAUCCAACGAAUUAAUCGUUGGAUCGCGGGGGAUACUGCUUGGCUAGGGGACGAGAGAGGCAGACGGUAUUUCCGGGGUAGGGGUGAAAUCCUAUAAUCCCGGGAAGACCACCAGUGGCGAAGGCUGUCUGCUAGAACGCGCCCGACGGUGAGGGAUGAAAGCUGGGGGAGCGAACCGGAUUAGAUACCCGGGUAGUCCCAGCUGUAAACGAUGCAGGCUAGGUGUUUGGACGGCCACGUGCCGUUCUAGUGCCGCAGGGAAGCUGUUAAGCCUGCCGCCUGGGGAGUACGAUCGCAAGAUUGAAACUUAAAGGAAUUGGCGGGGGAGCACCACAAGGGGUGAAGCUUGCGGUUUAAUUGGAUUCAACGCCGGA
rnacentral:rRNA from 1 species